AUGGCACCAUCUAUUCUUUUUCUCUCUUCUCUCUCUCUUUCCCCACCCGACGCCCUCUUAUCCUCCCUUCCCAUCCCACCCAAUGUCCUCUCAUGCUCCCAACCCUCUUCCUAUCCGACGUCCCCUCAUCUCCCUCACCCUUCUUCUAUUCGACGUUCAUUUAUCUUCUCCCCCACCCCGAAACCCGACAUCCCCUCAUCUUCUCCUCUAUCCCACC
rnacentral:lncRNA from 1 species